UUUGCAUAAUUUGUGUAUCAACCAUGGAUUAUUAAACAAUGAAGCUUGUUUAAUUGCCAAGUUUUAGUGUUACCAGUCCUCUACACUAAAAAAAUUGCACGAUACAUCCAUGAUCCAUUGACACAAUAUCAAUACAAUUACGAUCGCAGUCGCAGCAGUUUCUUCUUCAAUGAAUUGAAAUUCUCCAGUAUCUUCAACCAUUUUCAAAUCUCACACUCAUUCUCUCUCCUCUAAAAAUGGCGCAAAAUCCAUCAUCAACCAAACCAGGCCUUCUGGAAUUGGUCCCUCUCUUUGUCGUCCUUCUCAUCGCUGCUCAUGUCAUAGCUUUGGUGUACUGGAUUUUCAGAGUUGCAACUGAGAAGCAGCAACAAUUUCCUGGAAGAUCCAAAAAACACUGAUUUUGCCUCCUUCUGCAUUCUCUACAACUAAAGGGUUGCUUGCAUUAAUUUGCACUCAACAGGAAGAACGUGCCACUGAUAGAGAUAGUGCCAAACUUGAAGUUACCUUCAGAGAAUCAUUAUUUUGUAGGUUAUUGCUCGGUAAGGCGAAGUUCCAGAGUGGAAGUGUUGAUGUAGCUGAUAUAAUGGAUCUGGAAACAUGAAUGUAAAAAUGUACAAUCUAACAUUUGAGCAAGAAUGCGUUUUAAUCUAGAUAUUUUAAUUCAAAUAGUGUGUAUCUCAGUUAUUUGUAAUCUCGUAAAUACAAUCUUGUAAACAUAUUUAUUGAUUUGUUGUCUACAAUUUGGAUACUCAUUCUUCCGUA